rnacentral:lncRNA from 1 species
UAGGAUGUGUGUUAAUGCAACGUGAUAAGGUAAUUGCUUAUGCAUCUCGACAAUUAAGAAAUCAUGAGAAGAAUUACCCCACCCACGAUUUAGAAUUGGCUGCAGUAGUUUUCGCGCUUAAAAUCUGGAGGCAUUACUUGUAUGGAGGAAAGUGUAAAAUUUUUACAGAUCAUCAAAGUUUAAAGUACCUCUUUUCACAGAAAGAUUUAAAUAUGAGGCAGAGAAGAUGGUUGGAGUUGUUAAAGGAUUAUGAUUCUGAAAUUUUAUAUCACCCUGGUAAGGCGAAUGUUGUAGCUGAUGCGUUAAGUAGGAAGGAAGUCGGGAAUUGUGCGAGUGUCAUAGUAGAAUCACUGGAUGUUCAAGAAGAAAGACCUGGAAUGGAAUUUGGUAUACGAAAGAAGGAUGAGAGCUUAUUGUGUCAAAUUAAGGUCAAACCGAUGUUAUUAGAAAAGAUAAAGGCAAGUCAGAUUCAAGAUGAACGAUUAAAGGAAAUUUUGAAUAAUUCUAUUUCAGAAUCGGGAAAGAAGGAUUUUAGGAAAGGAAACGACGACAUAGUGAGGUUCCGCGAUCGAAUAUGUGUACCAUCUGAUAUAGAGAUUAAGAGGGAAAUAUUGUCUGACGCACAUUCAUCAUCUUUUUCGGUACAUCCUGGAUCUACGAAGAUGUAUAAAGACUUAAAGCAACAUUUUUGGUUGCCUAAGAUGAAGAGAGAAAUUGCAGAAUGGGUGGCAAGAUGUUUAAUUUGUCAACAAGUGAAAGCGGAGCAUCAAAGGCCAGGAGGUUUAUUACAAUCACUACAUGUCCCUGAAUGGAAAUGGGAACACAUCACCAUGGAUUUUGUGUUAGGGUUGCCAAGGACACAAAAAGGAAAUGAUGUCAUCUGGGUUAUCGUGGAUAGACUAACAAAGAGUGCACAUUUUCUAGCUAUAUCGGAAUCAUCACCUUUGGAGAAGUUAGCCAAGUUGUAUAUACGAGAAAUAGUUAGGUUACAUGGAGUACCUGUUUCAAUUGUGUCUGACAGAGAUCCCAGAUUUACUUCGAGAUUUUAGAAUAGUUUUCAAGAAGAGAUGGGUACAAAACUAAGUAUGAGCACGGCAUUUCACCCUCAGACGGAUGGUCAAUCGGAACGUACAAUUCAAAUUUUAGAAGACAUGUUAAGAGCUUGUGUGUUGGAUUUUAAAGGAAGUUGGGAAGAACAUUUACCUUUAGCAGAAUUUGCAUAUAAUAAUAGUGAUCAAGCGACAAUUGGGAUGGCUCCAUAUGAAGCUCUUUAUGGACGUCGAUGUAGAACACCAUUAUGUUGGGAUGAAGUUGGAGAAAGAAGAUUGUUGGGGCCAGAGUUAAUUCGGGUAACUACGAAGAAGGUGAAGUUGAUACAGCAAAGGAUUUUAAUUGCUCAGAGUAGGCAAAAAAGUUAUGCAGACAAGGAUCGGCGAGAUGUGGUGUUUAAGGAUGGAGAUUUUGUGUUUCUUAAAAUUUCUCCAUGGAAGGGUGUUAUGAGAUUCGGGAUGAAAGGAAAAUUAAGUCCUCCUUAUAUUGGACCAUUUGAGGUUCUUAGAAGAAUUGGAGAAGUGGCAUAUGAGCUCGCGCUACCACCAAGUCUUGGACAUAUUCAUAACGUAUUUCACGUGUCAUAUUUGAGGAAGUAUGUCUCGGAUCCGUCGCAUAUUAUAGAUUAUGAACUAAUAGAAAUUCAAGAAAAUAUGCAGUACGAAGAAAUUCCAUUAGAAAUAGUAGAUCGUCACGAGCAGAAGUUAAGAACGAAGGUCAUACCACUGGUGAAAGUGAUUUGGCGAAAUCAUGAAAUAGAGGAAGCAACUUGGGAACCUGAAGAAAUGAUGAAAUCAAAGUAUCCCCACUUAUUCAAUAAGUCAGGUACAAAUUAAGUUUAAUUUCGGGGACGAAAUUCUUUUAAGGCGGGAAGGAUGUAAUAUCCAUGCUUCAUUUUAUUUGAAAAUACAUAAAUUAUAUGUAUUUGAAGAAUAUUAUUAUAUUUUCUUCCUUUUAGUAAAAUUUCGUUCAGUCCCAAUAUAUAUUUUUGAAUUAUUUUCAGCCCAAUAUUAAUCGGCCAAUUAUUAAUCGAACCUCGCUAGAUAGCCAAGUUCGAUUUUAUAGUUAAUAGGCAUCCCUUAACCUCAAUAUGUAGUUGAGGUAGGAACCUUGUGCUCACAUCUUUUCGAUGUGGGACAAUUUUACCUUAUUAUGAAAAUAAAUAGCAUACAAGCUUGAGAGCUUUAUAGAGGAAUAUAGGUGGACCCUUAAUUAAUUUGUCAAUGUGGGACAUUUUCAUCCUUGUUUCACUGACUUUCAUGUCUAUUUACAUUACUUGAACUUUUUGUUAGUGAACAGACUUGAACUCCAUCGGACAAAUAUUUUUUUUACUUUGAAAUAUCUUAUAGAACUUAAGAUAGGUUCUAAGCUCACUUUCUCAUUUUGGGAAGGAGUGAGUUCCUUUUAAUCACUUAACUAAAUAACUUUAUGGUAUUAUAUAGAGUUGAGAAGGAGGUCUAUUCUAAACCUUCUCGAUGUGGGACAAUAAAAAUUGUCCAAAAUUAAACCAACAAGUCUUAGUUGGUUCAUAUUAUUUUUAAUAUGGGCUUGAUGGCCCUAAGAUAUAUAGAGAAAGAGAUGAUGAUCUCUCGUAUUAUCUCGAUGUGGGACUAAUAUUGUCCAAAACCAAGAAGCUGUCUUACUUGGUUAUUUUCUUACUUGGUUUGUUUUAGUAUUGGUUCCAUAACCUUGUUAUAUAGGAAAAGAGAUGGCACAUCUCUAAUACCUCUUCAAUGUGGGACUUUGUCAAGUCUUGGUAAACUUAAAGCUUUUUCUUAUACUUGCUUAUGAGAAAUUUAUGUAUUUCUCUUUAUAUUAAAAUUUUAAAAACAGAUUUAAUUGGCGAUAUCUAAGCCAAGAAAAAGUUGUGAACUUUCUUGAGCAGAAGGUGUUGAACUUUCUUAAGUGAAGAAAAGAGCUAAGCAAGAUUUUUAUAGAUGUUGGAGGGGAGCCAACUCCUAUAUCUAAUCAAUGUGGGAGGUUUGUAACUUGUAUAGUAAAUAAGCAACUCCCAACCCACAUUGGAAAGAGAAAAGAGGAAAGUUGAGAAUAUAUAGUACAAGCCAAGCUAUGGGCAACAAAAAAGAAAACUUGUUGAUCUUAGCAAGGCAUGCAUCAUUUAUUAAUACUUUGCCACCCGGCGCCUAGCUAUCCUCCCUUGAACUCCUUUUAGUUUUAUUCUUUGUCCUUGUACCACAUCGAGAACAUGAUAUCAUGUUCUCAUGAAUAUAAGCAAUGAUCUAAAUUUUCCCACUUUCCUUAUAUAAAUACACCAUCCUAGUUGGCUUUCCUAAAUAGGAAGCUUAAGACUUCUACUUUGUAAGUCCUCGUACUUAAUUCUUCAUUAUUUAUUUGAUUUAUUAAUUUAUAUUAUUAUUUAUUUGUGCGUGGUUAGUUAAUUUGAAUUAGCUAGUAGAGUUGUAAUUAGUAGAAUUUUAGCUUAUUAAUCGAAAAUUGUGAUUAAUAUUGUUAGGACGGGAUUAAUAAUAUCGAGGUUCGAGAUCGAGAAAGAAUUUAAAUUUUAGAAGCGAAUUAAGGUAAGUUAUACUGUACUUAUUCGCUGUUGAUGUUUAAUAUUUAAAUGAUGAUUUGAUUUUGGAUAUGAUGUUUUACUGAUGAAAAAAACAAGUAUUCUUGCAUUGAUAUUUGAUGAACUGAUGAUGACGCUUCCUUUUUGGAAGUAAAGCUAAACAGAUUGUUUAGCUGGCCGGGAUCCCAACUUGACGAAUUGAUGAACUAAUCAUACUUGAAUACUCGGUUCUAAUCUUAUGUGAACUAUUUUGCUGUGAUGAACCUUUGAUGAUAUUGAUAAAUUCUUGAUGAUUAUUUUAUCGAAAGAUUGUUUUAGUUCUUGGAUAAACCUCAGUUGAAUCGUACAAUAUAUGCUUACUGAGCUUUACAGCUCACUCUUUUAUGUCACUGACUUUCUCAGGAAAGAAUUUUGGAGAAGGAUGUUCUGGAAAGGAUAAGAAUGUGAUGAACUAAGGUUUUAGUGACAACGAGAGGCUUGUAGCAAGUAAAGGUUUUGUGUUUGUGUUUAAGUUAGGAGCUUAUGAUGUAAUCUUUUGUUACGAACUUGGAAACGUUGUAAGAACUUUAUAUUAUUAAGUGCUGUUAAGGUUGUGUAAGCAUAUAUUGAGUUGGUUAGUUUGUUUGGCAUCCCCGGGUCGGGUUUCUGAGGUCAUCCCGGGCCGGGGGCGCCACAGGUGGUAUCAGAGCUAUAGGUUCGGGUAUCGGCGAAAGUAGAAUUAAGAUUCUAGACUAGUGUGUUUUUAAGUUAGGAGAAUAUGUCUAAGGGAUAUGUGGACCUUAGUUGUGAAUCUGUGGAAUAAACUAUAUGUUUAGUACUUACUAUAGUGCUAGUAUGAUUUGUGGAUUAGAACAGAGUUCUAAUAUAUAUUAUAUGAUUUUUAGGUAACGAUGAAUGAAGAAAAUAGAAGUGGAGCUGGGCCUAGCGUUCAAAUUAGUCCUGAAAUGAUGUUGGUUUUGGAGGAAUUGAGGAACAUGUUGAAGACUAUUAGGGGAGAUCAAGAAAAUACGAAUACAAUUAAGGUAAACACUGAUCGUGUGGAAGAACAAGAUCGUAUAAAUAAUCCGGAGCGAGAAGGUGAGAAUAAACGAAGGUGUACUUACAAGACCUUUAAGGAUGCUGAUCCCCCGAUAUUUAAAGGAGAUUUCGAUUCUCAUGUUGCGAAUACAUGGAUUAAGGAAAUGGAGAAAGUGAUAGAAAUUUCUGAAUGCUUGGAUGAACAAAAGGUGAAAUUCGCAACACACUCUUUAAGGGGGGAAGCAGUAUUUUGGUGGGACACUGUUAAACAGACGGAAGAUUGUUCAACAAUGACUUGGAUGAGGUUUAAGGAGUUGUUCUUUGAUAAAUAUUUUCCAGCGUGUAUGAAAAAUGAGAUGGAGAUGAAGUUUUUAGGAAUAAAGCAAGAAGGAAUGUCUGUGUCAGAAUAUUUGUCGAAGUUUUUGGAGCUUUCUAGGUUUGCCCCUCAUCAGGUUAAUACUGAAGCUAGGAAAUGUCAGAGAUUUCAGGAGGGACUGAAACCUCAAAUUAGAGAAAGGGUCUCUUUGUUGGAACUAGAGCAAUUUGAUAAGUUGGUGGGAAAAGCUAGGAUUGCCGAAAGGGAGUAUGAAGCUCGCACCCAAUUCUUCAACAGUAAGAAAAGAGGAAGAGAAAUAGAUCUGCGUGAUAAUUCAGGAUAUAAGAAGGAUGAUAAGAAGUUUCAAAAGACAAAGAAAGAGAGUUUCCGGGGAAAUGAUAGGAAGACCACUAUAUCGGAGUGUAGGAAGUGUGGACUGAAGCAUGGUGGUGACAUUUGUUACCGAGCAGAUGGGUUGUGCUAUAAUUGUGGAGAAAGGAGGCAUAUAGCGACUCAAUGCCUAAAGCCGAAAGUGAUUUCCUGCUAUAGCUGCGAAAAACCAGGACAUGUAUCGAGGGACUGCCCACAGAAAGGAGUCAAGCAAGAAGUUGAAACUAAAGGAAAUAGGACUUCUACAACAGGACCUUUUCAGCAAUCAGCACCUAGGGCAGUGGCAAGAACCUACGCAAUGACAACUCAGGAUGCUGAAAAAUCUCAUGAUGUUGUGUCAGGUACGCUUCAACUUUGUUCUCAAGAUGUGCAUGUUCUGUUUGAUUCUGGAUCAACUCAUUCUUUUGUGGAUUUGAAGAAUGUGGAUAAGUUGAAUACUACUGCGCAAAGUUUAGAUAAUUCACUACUAGUAAAACUCCCUAAUGGUAGGAAUUUGUUUGUGAACAAAGUUUAUAAGGAUUGCCCCCUUGUAAUUAGCGGACAUACUUUUCUAGUAGACUUGUUACCUUUAGACUUAAGGGAUUUUAGAGUGAUUUUGGGAAUGGAUUGGUUGACGAAGUAUAAAGCCAAUUUGGAUUGUAGUAAAAAGCGAAUAUGUUUAAGGAGGCUAGAUAAAAAGAAGGUUUAUUUUAAAGGAGACAGGUCAGAAAAACCUAGUGUCAUGAUAUCAGUUCUGAAAGCUUAUAAGAUGUUAAGAAAAGGAUGUGAAGGGUUUCUAGCUUAUGUGAUUGGUGAGGAGGAAGUUAAAAAUAAAGUUGAGAAUACCCAUGUGGUUAGAGAGUUUCUAGAUGUUUUUCCCGAGGAUUUGCCAGGAUUGCCACCCGAAAGAGAGGUUGAGUUUAGUAUUGAAUUGGUUCCGGAGGCGCAACCAGUAUCGAAAGCACCAUAUAGAAUGGCACCAACCGAGUUGGCAGAACUUAAGGUACAGUUACAAGAAUUGUUGGAUAAAAAGUAUAUUAGACCAAGUGUUUCUUCUUGGGGAGCACCGGUGUUGUUUGUGAAAAAGAAGGAUGGUUCUCUCAAUUAUGUAUUGAUUAUAGAGAACUGAAUAAGUUGACUGUAAAGAAUAAAUACCCACUUCCGCGAAUAGACGAUCUUUUUGAUCAAUUACAAGGAGCCACUUACUUUUCAAAGAUAGAUUUGCGCUCAGGUUAUCAUCAAUUGAGAGUGAAGAAAGAAAGCAUUCCAUUUACGGCGUUUAGGAAUCGAUAUGGUCAUUAUGAGUUUGUAGUAAUGUCGUUUGGGGUGACAAAUGCACCUGCGGUAUUUAUGGAUUUAAUGAAUCGAGUAUUUAGGAAUUAUUUGGAUAAGUUUGUAAUUGUGUUUAUCGACGAUAUUCUUAUUUACUCAAGGACUGAGCAGGAACAUGAAGAACAUUUGAGGAUGGUCUUGGAAACUUUGAGGAAAGAACAGUUGUAUGCUAAGUUUUCAAAAUGUGAGUUUUGGUUAAGGAGAGUAAGUUUUCUUGGACAUGUAGUUUCAGAAGAGGGGAUUUCGGUUGAUCCUUCAAAGAUUGAGGUGAUCAUGAAUUGGGAGAGACCAAGGACGGUGACAGAGAUUCGAAGUUUCUUAGGUUUGGCCGGGUAUUAUAGGAAGUUUGUUCAAGAUUUCUCUAAGAUAGCUGGACCAUUGACAAAUCUCACAAGGAAAGACGUUAAGUUUGUUUGGUCGGAGGAAUGUGAGAAAAGUUUUAUUGAAUUAAAGAAAAGACUAACGUCUGCUCCAGUACUCGGAUUACCAGAUGGAACUGAAGAUUUUGUUAUUUAUAGUGAUGCGUCAAGAAAAGGAUUAGGAUGUGUGUUAAUGCAACGUGAUAAGGUAAUUGCUUAUGCAUCUCGACAAUUAAGAAAUCAUGAGAAGAAUUACCCUACCCACGAUUUAGAAUUGGCUGCAGUAGUUUUCGCGCUUAAAAUUUGGAGGCAUUACUUGUAUGGAGGAAAGUGUAAAAUUUUUACAGAUCAUCAAAGUUUAAAGUACCUCUUUUCACAGAAAGAUUUAAAUAUGAGGCAGAGAAGAUGGCUGGAGUUGUUAAAGGAUUAUGAUUGUGAAAUUUUAUAUCACCCUGGUAAGGCGAAUGUUGUAGCUGAUGCGUUAAGUAGGAAG